UGCAUGUUAGUGACACGAACGACGAACGGCUCAGUAAUACUGCGCUGAUCUGUCCUGUGCGGGCGAUAACCACGGGAAACUGUGGCUAACGGCGCAGGGUGAGACGCAGUCCUAUCAGCUUGUUGGCAGUGUAACGGACUACCAAGGCGGCGACGGGUAACGGGAAAUCAGGGUUUGGUUCCGGAGAGGGAGCCUGAGAGAUGGCUCCCACGUCCAUGGACGGCAGCAGGCGCGGAAAUUGCCCACUCCUCGGCGGGGAGGCAGUUACGAGACAUGGCGGAAGGGUGCGCAGCAAAGACGCGCGCGAACGCAAUUGGAGGGCAAGUUUGGUGCCAGCAGCCGCGGUAAUACCGACUCCAAGAGUGUCUAUGGUGGAUGCUGCAGUUAAAAAGUCCGUAGUCGUGGUGCAGUUGAAGUGCGCAGCUUAGAUGCGCGGCGACUGCAGCGGAUGGCGGAGCGGACAGGGGGCGCGGUAUAGACGGGCGAGAGAUGAAAUUGCCAGGACCCCGUCUGGACCGGCAGCGGCGCAAGCGGCGCCCUGGGACGCAUCUGGGGAUCAAGGACGAAGGCUGGAGGAUCGAAAGUGAUUAGAGACCGCUGUAGUUCCAGCAGUAAACGAUGCCGACACCGCCUGGCGGCGCUGGGUGGAGGCGAAAGCAUAGUGUUCGGGCUCUGGGGAUAGUAUGCUCGCAAGGGUGAAAAUUAAACGAAAUUGACGGAGCUACACCACAAGGAGUGGAUUGUGCGGCUUAAUUUGACUCAACGCGGGAAAACUUACCAGGGCCACGCGCGCCGGCGACGGCAUGCCCGAGGCGCGCAGGAGUGGUGCAUGGUCGUUGCAAACUGAUGGGAUGGCCUGAGGCUUAACUGCCGGAAUGAGUGAGAUCCGCGGGACUGGCGGCUGCGCCGCAGGAGGGUGCGGGCGAUAACAGAUCAGUGAUGCCCUCAGAUGCCCUGGGCUGCACGCGCAAUACAGUUCCCAUGCGUCACACAGGCGUGUCUUGGGAGUGCGGGACUGGCGUCUGUAAUGGCGCCACGAACGAGGAAUUCCUAGUAACUGCGGCUCAACAGGCCGCAGUGAAUGUGUCCCUGUAGCUUGUACACACCGCCCGUCACUAUCUCAGAUGGCUGCAGCGACGAGGGGUGCAAA
rnacentral:rRNA from 1 species